GACGAACCGUGCGAACGUUAUUCGGAAUCACUGGGCUUAAAGCGCGUGUAGGCGGGAGGGCACGUCCGUUGCUGAAAUCCCCCGGCUCAACCGGGGAACGGGCGCGGAUACGACUCUCCUUGAGGGGCGUAGGGGGACCUGGAACUUCCGGUGGAGCGGUGAAAUGCGUUGAGAUCGGAAGGAACGCCCGUGGCGAAAGCGAGGUCCUGGACGCCUACUGACGCUGAGACGCGAAAAGCCAGGGGGAGCGGAACG
rnacentral:rRNA from 1 species